rnacentral:rRNA from 1 species
UACAGAGGUCUCAAGCGUUGUUCGGAUUCAUUGGGCGUAAAAGGGGUGCGUAGGUGGCGGGGUAAGUCAGGUGUGAAAUCUCGGGGCUCAACCCCCGAAACUGCAUUUGAUACUGCCUUGCUCGAGUACUGGAGAGGAGAUUGGAAUUUACGGUGUAGCAGUGAAAUGCGCAGAUAUCGGGAAGAACACCCGUGGCGAAGGCGGCUCUCUGGGACGGUACUGACGCUGAGACGCGAAAGCGUGGGGAGCGAACAGG